GGAAGAGCGGGUGGGGGAGGGGGACUGCGCGUCACUCACUGUUCUCCCCCCCCUCCCCCGCACAG
rnacentral:miRNA from 1 species